rnacentral:rRNA from 1 species
UACGAAGGGGGCUAGCGUUGCUCGGAAUCACUGGGCGUAAAGGGUGCGUAGGCGGGUUUUUAAGUCAGGGGUGAAAUCCUGGAGCUCAACUCCAGAACUGCCUUUGAUACUGAAGAUCUUGAGUUCGGGAGAGGUGAGUGGAACUGCGAGUGUAGAGGUGAAAUUCGUAGAUAUUCGCAAGAACACCAGUGGCGAAGGCGGCUCACUGGCCCGGUACUGACGCUGAGGUGCGAAAGCGUGGGGAGCAAACAGG